AUGUUGAGAUGCAUUGAUCCUACUAACUACAAAAUGCAAAAGCAUGAAAUCGGGCGUGAUAGCUCGCCGGGCACCCAGUCCCUGUCAACCAUCAUCAGUCAUAACAGAUCUGUGCGUCUUAGAUUUCUCAAAGAAUUCAAUGAGUUGAAGUACGGGAGUGUCACUGAAGAUUACAAGGCAAUCAAUAGAAAGAGGCAUGAACUUAUCAGCACCCUUGAAAAGCUGCAACUUAUACCUAUCAAGUUGCCCUAUGCCAGUGUAGCUCUCAAGUCAUCAAAUGUGACAUUACAUGAUGAAGCACAAAGUGGGAACAAUAUUAGUUCUGAUAAUAUUAUCAAAUUGGAUCUGUACAAUGUUGGAGAUGAUACCCAUGCUACCAUGGACAAUACUGGGGCUCAGGAAACUGUUUGCUUACUUGAUUCUGAUGAUAACGACAUGGUUCAAUCCUUUGUAGAUGGAAAUUUAUCCGAUUCUAAGAAAAAUACUGAUUUUAUCCAAGAAUGCAUGCUGGCUGAGCAGCCUUCCCAAUACCAGGACAUCAGUUUUGAAGCUCAACUUGUAGUUGAGCCAGGAAAGGACAGCACGGACAUUGACAAUGAGCCCAAGGAAAUUGCUUUACUUGAUGGCCAUAGUACUUCAGAGCCACAACUGAUCAAGCAAGGACAGAAUGACAUAAACAUUUACGCCGAGAGUCGUGACAAGGAGAGAGAAACAAGGGAAGGAGAAGGUGAGGAUGUCCAAAGUAAACAACACAUGGAGAACAACAAUAUUUCUGUUGUAGAUUCUUGUGAAAUAUCUUGUGAGGUCAUACAAAGUGAUUCAACGGCAAAUGGACAUUAUAAUCACUAUGAUAACAAUGACAAUCCAGUUGAUGACCUGGAUGACCUUUGGAACGAAAUGUCUCUUGCAUUGGCAUGUUCAAAGACCAUUGGAAGCGAUCACAGUAUUGUUCCGUCGGAGAAGAAUAAUUCUGAAGUAGUGGAUGAUUGUCAUCACGACUUCCUGAUGAAAGAUGAUUUGGGCAUUGUAUGUCGUGUUUGUGGUUUGAUCCAGCAACGUAUCGAGAAUAUUUUUGAGAUAAACUGGAAAAAGCAUAAGCAAUCCCACAGAACUUAUGCGCCAGAACCCAGAAACUACAAUGAGCUGGAAGCAACUACCAGUCCUUCAGGAAAUAUUCUUCAAGUUGUCCCUGGUGCUCUCUCAAUCCACUCUCAGCAUUCAGAACAGAUGAAACCUCACCAAGUGGAAGGCUUUAAUUUCUUGGUCAAGAACCUGGCAGAUGAGAACAACCCUGGAGGUUGUAUUCUAGCACAUGCACCAGGUUCUGGAAAGACUUUUAUGCUAAUUAGCUUUGUUCAAAGCUUCCUGGCCAGAUACCCUGCAGGAAGGCCAUUGAUUAUCCUUCCAAAGGGCAUUCUGGCAACAUGGAGAACAGAAUUUGUCCAUUGGCAAAUUAAGGACAUGCCUAUACCCUUGUUUGACUUCUAUUCCUCCAAAGCUAAUAACCGGUCUGAACAACUCAAGGUUUUGAACUUGUGGGAAGAAAAGAGAAGCAUAUUGCUGCUAGGGUAUCAUCAAUUUGCAUGCAUAGUAUCUGAUAGGAAUACUUAUAAAAUAGAAGUUGUCAUGUGCCGAGAUAAGUUGUUGAAGGUCCCAAGCCUUGUCAUUCUAGAUGAAGGCCACACUCCGAGAAAUGAGCAAACUGACUUACUCACUGCACUUGGAAGUAUAAGAACUCCUAGAAAAGUGGUUCUCUCAGGAACCUUGUUUCAGAAUCAUGUAAGAGAGGUUUUCAACAUUCUGAACCUUGUGCGGCCAAAAUUCCUGAAGAUGGAGAAACCUCGUGCAAUAGUGAAGCGCAUACUAAGCAAGGUUGACAUGUUGGGGAAGAGUGCACGGUCAAAGUACACUUCUGAUAAGUACUUCUAUGAUGUGGUUGAAGGAAACCUUAAAAAGGACGCAGAUGAUAAAAUGAGAGUAAUGAUCAUCCAUAAUCUACGCGAGCUAACCGCGAAUGUGCUGCACUAUUAUAAAGGUGAGCUUUUGGAUGAAUUACCCGGACUUGUGGACUUCACCGUUUUUCUGAAUAUGAGUACCGAGCAGGAAAAGAUCCUUAGGAGUUUGGUAAGACUAGAUAAUUUUAGCAGGAAAACAGCAUGCAGCGCUGUUUAUCUUCAUCCGUGCUUAAAGAAUAUUCAAAACGUUGAAGGGAAAAAUCGAGAUAUUGCUGUUCAGAAGAUUGAUUCCAUCAUAAAAAGUGGAAUUGAUAUCAAGGUUGGGGCAAAGGCAAAGUUUAUAUACAAUUUGUUGUGUCUUUCAGAGGCUGCAGGAGAGAAGGUACUCGUGUUCAGCCGGUAUCUGAACCCUCUGGUUUUCUUGGAAAUGCUGCUCAUAAGAAUGAAAGGAUGGAAACCAGAGGUUCACAUGUUUAAAUUAAAUGGUAAAUCAAUACAAGAGCAGCGAGACAAGGCGGUUGAGAGAUUCAACCACUCAACGGAUGCUAAAGUUUUGUUUGGUUCCAUCAAGGCAUGCGGCGAGGGCAUCUCCCUUGUUGGCGCAUCACGCGUUGUCAUUCUGGAGGUCCAGGAAAAUCCUUCCGUGACGCGGCAGGCAAUCGGACGGGCAUUCAGACCAGGGCAGUCCAGAUUGGUGCAUUGCUACCGCCUUGUUGCCGCCGACUCCCCAGAAGAGGAGGACCACAAGACAGCCUCCGGAAAAGAAUGGAAGUCCAAGAUGUGGUUCGAAUGGAACGAGCUUUGCAGCAACGAUGAUUUUGAGCUUGCCGCUGUGGAUAUUUCAGAGAGCGGGGACAGGUUUCUCGAACACGAGGCACUGCGACAAGAUGUCAAAUCUCUGUACAGAAGGUGA
rnacentral:rRNA from 1 species